AUUCUUUCCACAAACAUUUCUAAGUGUCCAUGGUGACCCAGACAUCAUGGGAACUUCAGGGUUCCAGAGCUGAGUAGAACACAACUCCCAUCCUUAGGGAUUCACCAUCCAGUAGAGGAGAAAGACGUCGAGACAGAAGACAGAAGGGAAAGGAAAAGCUCAAUGCUGUGCCUUCAACUUAGCUUCUCCAUUUUUUGGAGAAGGGUUAAUAGGGGAAGCAGAGAGAGAGAGAUGAGAGACCAAAGUUUCUAGGGCCCUUAUCUCCAGAGCAGAGGGUCUGAAACCUUAGUGAGCAAAAACUGAUCCGGAAGACUUGUUGGAGGCAUACCUUCCAGUUCAGCGAGCCAUUUCAGCAGAUUGGAGAUCCCCUGCCUGCAGCACGUGCUGAUCUCCAAGGGUGAGGCUGGAUGAAGCCAGGGGCUAUGGAAAGGGAGACUGUUUCAGAGGACUUGACACCAUCUUCAGUAAUUUCUCUGGUUCUUGGCAGCUCCAUUUGGCUGCGUCCCUACCCUGCAUAACCCUCCCAGCUAGUCUACUCCAGGGCAGCGUCCAGCUGGUGACCUGAGAGGGCAGUGGCGCACCAGUCUCCAUGAAGGUUGAGCUCCGAUGGCCAACGGCCAUUUCCACCUUGUGGUCUACAACUCUUCAUCCCGACUGCAUGGAGGUUGGUCUCUCUCUUCAGCUGGAUUUAGGCCACCAUCUGAGCCCCCGGGGUACGUUUUGUCUGACCCUGGCGCCAUUCGAACGGUUCUUCUACAGCAUCAGGCGUUCACCUGGCUCCUAGGGCUUUUGUGCUGUAGGCCUAUAUUUCCAGCUACUUUUGGAAAAAAUCUCUCUGGAGGCUCAAUGAGCUUGUCACAUCAGCCUGCCCAGAGGUAAAGCACAUUUCUCUGCCCUCACACGCCUCUCCCUUGCUGUCUUUAACUUAAUCAAUGCCCGUAACACCCUCUACAAUGCUGAGCAAGCUCAGAUCCUCCUAGUCUUCAUGGCAUCCUUCUUUUUCUUUUUCCAUUGGUCUAAUCUGAUUGAAUUUAAAUUUUGCACAUUUUGCAUGAGUAAUUCUCUUGCAUGAAUCUCUUUCUCUUCCUCCCUUCUGCCAUCACUGGCUCUUGUCCUCUCUUUACUGGACUGUAGAAUAAUCUCUUUGGUGGUCUUCCUGUGGUCUUCCCUUCCCCUCCACUAAAUCUACUCUCUAUUCAGUAUCAAGAAAGACUUAAUCAGCAGUGAAUACUCUCCACCAAGCCCUUGACCCAUUGUCAGUCUCUGGCAUCAGAUCCUUUCCAGUAGGGCAAAGUGCAACUGCAGCCAGCUCAUGCCUUCAAGAGAAGGACUGAAGAUCAUUGUGUGCCUAAACCAAGUAAGUCUAACUGCUCCUUCACCAGCUCACCCAAAACUAUAGGGGCCUUCUACAGUCACGUUCCCAUGGCUCUGGGAAUUCCUCCAGACUUGAACUCUGGUUUGGCUUCCCCAGUUUAUAUCCUAUGCUUCAUACCAAGGUCUUCCCACUUUGCCUAUCCUACAAGAAGUAGUGGCCAGGUUGGACUUUCUGAUAAGUUUGGAGAUUGCUUCUUGGCUGACCCUUGGUACCUUGUUCUACUAGCCACAGCUAAGCUCCACAAAGCCUAGGUGAGUGGGACACUGCAACCCAGCCCAGACCCAACACUAUGGCCUUCUACCAGUUGAGCAUGGGAUCAAGAUGAGACUUCUAGUGCCAAUACUAAAGACUAUGAGGUUUGCAAGGUGAAGUUCACUGUCAACCUCUUAUAGUCCAUAACAAAUAUUUCUAGUUUGUUCACUCAUUGAGUCAUCCAACAAGUAUUUAUAGAGCAACCGUCAAGUGCCAUAUACAUUCCAUGGUGUUAGGGAUAUAGCAGGGAAAAUGUCAGACAAGGUUUCUACUCAUAGAAUCCAUAUUCUACUAUUGGAGGAAAAGAGAUAGCACAUAUAGCAUCAGUCAUUGUCAAUGAUCUUAAAUGUCUGAAGACAAUUAGCUUUAUAAGAUGUAAGUGACUGAGAGGGAAGGGCUAUUUUAGACAAAAUGCUCAAGGAAUUAGCUCUGGGAAUAUGAUGUUUAAACAGAGAUCUGAAUGACAAGAAGAAGCCAGCAUGCCAAUGUUGGUGGGCAGAGUAUACUGGGUAGAGAGACCAGCACAAGUACAAAACUCUAAAGUGGGAAUGAACCUGGAUGAGUCUGAAGGAUGGGAAAAAGAAUCAUGUGGCUGGAUUUGAUGAGCAAAGAGGUGAAUAAGAGGAAAAAUUAAGUCAAACAGGAAGACACAGACUAGAUCAUGUAAGGCCUUGGUAAGUGAUAUGGUUUGGCUGUGUCCCCACCCAAAUCUCAUCUUGAAUUGUAGUUCCCAUAAUUCCCACUGUUGUGGGAGGGACCCAGUGGGAGAUAAUUGAAUCAUGGGGGUGAUUACCCCAUGCUGCUGUUCUCAUGACAGUGAGCGAGUUUUCACGAGAUCUGAUGGUUUUAUAAGUUUUAUAAGGGGUUUUCCCCCCUUUUGCUCGGCACUUCUCUCUUGCCUGCCACCAUGUAAGACAUACCUUUGCUUCUCCUUCUCCUUCUGCCAUGAUUGUGAGGCCUCCCACCCAUGUAGAACUGUGAGUCCAUUAAACCUCUUUUCCCUUAUAAAUUACCCAGUCUCAGAUAUGUCUUUCUUAGCAGCAUGAGAACAAACUAAUACAGUAAAUUUGCAUAAGACAUUUGCCCUUCCCUUUGAAAGCAAUGGGAAGCCAUGCUCUGCAUACUCAGAAUAAGAGUGAGAUUGGAAACCAUGGUGAUUGAAGACCUAUUGGGAGUGAAGACUUGAGCCUUGAAGGAGAGAGUGACUGCAAAGUUUCUCAGAUAUCUGCAACUGGGGAUGAUAUCUGGAUGGGAUGCCUGGGCCCUGGGGUUAGUGAGGAGUUCAAAGAAGAAGGAGCAGAAAUGGAUUCAGGAGAGAGUGAGCAGAGACUCAAUGUUCUGUAAGUAAGUGCUCCUACAGGGGAAGGGUUAGAGAGGUCGGUAGAGGGGCCCAGGAUUCCGGGAAGCUGGAGAUUCCAGCUCUAAGACAUGCUAUUGUAGCCUCAAGACAGAUGCACAAUUAUAGGUUGCAACAGUGGAGUGAUUUUGAAGAAGCAAAAAUACUCAGUGCAAUGGACUGAAUGUUAGUGUCCUUCCAAAAUUCAUAUGUUGAAACCCUAAUCUACUAUGUGUUAGGAUUAGGAGGUAAAGCCAUUGGGAGGUAAUGAGGGUGGAGUUCUCAGGAAUAGGAUUGGUGCUCUUAUCAACGGAACCCCAGAUAGCUCUCUCGCCCUCACUCCACCACAUGAGGAUACAAGAAGUCUGCAGUGUGCAAUCUGGAAAGGGCCCUCAACAGAACCCGACCAUGCUGACACUUUGAUCUUGGACUUCCAGGCUCCAGAACUGGGAGAAAUAAACUUCUGUUGUUUGCAUGUC
ensembl:lncRNA PPP1R3B-DT PPP1R3B divergent transcript